rnacentral:rRNA from 2 species
UGCAUCGAUGAAGAACGCAGCGAAAUGCGAUACGUAAUGUGAAUUGCAAAUUCAGUGAAUCAUCGAGUCUUUGAACGCACAUUGCGCCCCCUGGUAUUCCGGGGGGCAUGCCUGUCCGAGCGUCAUUGCUGCCCUCAAGCCCGGCUUGUGUGUUGGGCCCCGUCCUCCGAUUCCGGGGGACGGGCCCGAAAGGCAGCGGCGGCACCGCGUCCGGUCCUCGAGCGUAUGGGGCUUUGUCACCCGCUCUGUAGGCCCGGCCGGCGCUUGCCGAUCAACCCAAAUUUUUAUCCAGGUUGACCUCGGAUCAGGUAGGGAUACCCGCUGAACUUAAGCAUAUCAAUAAGCGGAGGAA